CCUGUUAAGGAUACAGAUCUGGUAUGUUAUAUAAUUGGAGGUCUCUCGGCUGAAUUUGAUCCUUUGGUUGCCUCUUUCACAACAUGUUUGGAGCCUAUCUCAUUAGAAGAUAUGUAUGCUCAUUUGCUCAUAUUUGAGC